UUUAUGGAGAGUUUGAUCCUGGCUCAGGACGAACGCUGGCGGCGUGCCUAAUACAUGCAAGUCGAGCGGAUCUUCUUGAGUAGCUUGCUACUU
rnacentral:rRNA from 1 species